rnacentral:lncRNA from 1 species
UUUCCUUCUGCGUUUGCAUUACGGGAUUUUAGCAGUUGAACCAUGGGAUAUCUGGAUUUGAAUGGGUUACUUUGUGCAAAAAUUUUUCUGUUUGUUGCCUAUUAAAAAAAAAACAAAAAAACUUCUGUUUGUUCUUUUUACCCCCAGAGUUGUUUUCAAGAGCUUAUGCCCCUUAGUAUAUUCUGUGCUUAUUUAUCAAAAAAAAAAAAAAAUCCUGGUUGCAGUUUUUAUUCUAGGAUGAGGAAAAUGGAGUUCUUUGAGAAAAGUGCUAUGGAUGAGGAAAUGGUGCAUUACAGAAAAAAGGGUUACUUAGAAGGCUGUUGGGUGAUAUUGGUGUAUGCCAAUAAGUAUAAUCCUGAAGGGGGGGUGAUUAAGAGACUGGAAACUUGUCUAGUAGCAAAUAAUACAAUCGGACAUCUGGAGUUAAUCAUAGGAAAGCCUUCUUGCAGUGGCAUGUUUCAAUUUUGAUCAAGUCCUUUUAUUCCUUGCAAAAUUUUUUAGCUAGUCUUUAUUUCAACUUGAGAUAAUGAAAAUUUCUCUUUUGCAUAAGUUGAAUUAAGAGCUGAACAUUAAGCAAUGUAAUAAAUCUGGAAUAAGGAUGUGUUUGGGAGACUGGAAUGUAAUAAAUCUGCAGCUCUCCAGCAAGUGGAAUACUGGGAUCAGGUGGAAAGUGAGAGGAGUUUGAUAGAGGAGGAAAUCUCUAUUAAAAAAGAAGCCAAAGAGGGCUAUGCUAAGUGGGUAAACCUGGAGGAAAUACACUGGAGACAGUUAUUAAGGGAGUUAUGGUUAAGGGAAGGGGAUAGAAACACGGGUUAUUUUCAUCGUAUGGCAACUGCACACCGAAGAAGGAACUCCUUAGACAGAAUAAAAAUCAAUGGGGUGUGGUUGUCAGAGGAGCAAGAAGUAAGGACAGGGAUUGCAGGCGCCUUUAAACAGUUGCUCACGAAAGACUUGGAGUGGAAGGCAGAUAUAGGGGGUUUAAACUUGAAUCAGAUCAGUCAGCAAGAAGCGGAAAUCCUGGAGUUUCCUUUCUCUAAGGAUGAAGUUCAUUCGGCUCUAGUGGACAUGAAUGGGGACAAGGCUCCAGGACCGGAUGACUUCACUGUGGCCUUUUGGCAAUGCUGCUGGGAGUUCGUGAAAGAGGAGAUUUUAGAGAUGUUGAAGGAGUUCCAUGAGCAAAAUUCUUUCCUCAAGAGCCUCAACAACACGUUUUUGGUCCUUUUACCAAAAAAAGGAGUGGAGGAACUGGGGGAUUUCGGACCUAUCAGUCUUUUGGGGGGGGGGGGGGCUGUACAAAUUAUUGGCUAAGGUCCUGGCCAAUAGGAUUAAAAAAGUGAUUGGAAAAGUGGUUUCCCUGGAUCAGAAUGCAUUCGUCAUGGGUAGGCAGAUUCUGGACGCCUCCUUAAUUGCAAAUGAGGUGAUUGAUUCUUGGCAAAAAAGGGGAGAGAAAGGCCUAAUUUGCAAAUUGGAUAUUGAGAAGGCGUACGACAGCGUUAAUUGGCAUUUCUUGAUGAGGGUCUUGCAAAAAAUGGGUUCGGGCCUAAGUGGAGGGACUGGAUGUGGAGUUGUAUCUCAACUGCUAAGUUUUCAGUUCUGGUGAAUGGAGUGCCUGCUGGAUUUUUCUCUAGCUCUAAGGGGCUACAUCAAGGUGACCCUCUUUCCCCAUACUUGUUCGUCAUGGGAAUGGAAGUGUUGAGUGUUCUUAUUAGGAGGGCUGUGGAAGGGGGUUUUAUUUCUGGGUGCAACAUCAGGCGGGGUAGUGGGUCGGCUGCCAAUAUUUCUCACCUUCUCUUUGCUGAUGACACAAUAGUAUUUUGUGAGGCAAAGAAGGAACACUUGACUCAUUUGAGCUGGAUUUUAUGUUGGUUUGAAGCUGCUUCAGGGUUAAGGAUUAAUCUGGCUAAAAGUGAAAUUAUUCUAGUAGGGAGGUGGAAGAGAUUGUUGAGAUGACUGUGGAGCUUGGAUGCAAGGUAGGUCAAUUACCCUCAGCUUACUUGGGGCUGCCCUUGGGGGUGCCCAAUAAGGCCUCUUCCGUGUGGGAUGGGGUGGAAGAAAGGGUGAGGUGGAAACUUGCCCUUUGGAAACGACAGUAUAUCUCCAAAGGUGGAAGAAUCACCCUCAUAAAGAGUACGUUGGCUAGUAUGCCUUUGUAUCAAUUGUCCCUAUUCCGUAUGCCUAAGAUAGUGGCAAGAAGGCUAGAAAAGUUGCAAAGAGACUUUUUGUGGGGAGGGGGAAAUAUGAAAAGAAAAGCUCACUUAGUCAAUUGGGAGAUGGUGUGUGCGGGUAAGGAGAAGGGGGGGCUAGGCUUGAGGAAGCUAGUCCUCUUGAACAAAGCCUUGCUUGGUAAAUGGGUUUGGAGAUUCGCUCGAGCCAAGGACGAGCUAUGGAAGCAAGUGCUUAUGGCGAAAUAUGGGCAAGAGGACCUUGGUUGGAGGACUAAGAAGGCAAAUGGGGCGUUUGGUGUCGGGGUUUGGAAGGAAAUUUUGAAGGAAUCUGAUUGGUGCUGGGAUAAUAUGGCUUUCAAUGUGGGAAAAGGCACCAGAAUCAGAUUCUGGACUGAUCCUUGGUGUGGGGGUGUUGAGUUGUCCCUAAGAUUCCCUCGUCUAUAUGCCGUGGCUGCCCAUAGGAACGCCACAGUGGGAGAAAUGUGGGACCAGAAUUCUGGUCAAGGAGGCUGGAAUUUAAGGUUUUUCAGAGACUUUAACGAUUAGGAGUUGGACUUGGUAGGUGAUUUACUUCAAGCCUUAAGGGGCCAAAGGGUUACUUUGGAGGUAGACUCGGUUUUUUGGAAGGGAGGAAAGAACGUGCAGUUUGGUGUUAAGAAUGCGUACAGCUUGUUGAUUAGCCCCAUUGUCUCCGUUUUCCCCAAAAAUGGCAUUUGGAUGGAUAGAGUCCCAACUAAAUUAGCGUUCUUUGCGUGGGAAGCGGCUUGGGGGAAGGUUCUUACCCUUGAUAGACUUCAAAAGAGAGAGGGUGACAGCUUCCUAAUCGAUGCUUUUUAUGCGGUAGCGAAGAGGAAAAUGCAAAUCAUUUGCUCAUUCAUUGUACAGUGGUCAGAGUGCCAUGGGAGAUUGUCCUUGGUUUGUUCGGUGCUCAGUGGGUUUUUCCAGAAACUGUAAAGGAGGUUCUACUUAGCUAGAAGGGCUUUUUUGUGGGUAAAAAAAGGAAAAAAAUCUGGAGAUCCAUUUCGUUAUUUAUUUUUUGGACGGUUUGGAAGAAGAGGAAUAAACUAGCUUUUAGGGGUGGGGGGGAGUUAGCUAUUCAGAAACUUAAAAUUUUUUUUGUUUGUAAUGUGUGGGGCUGGGCAAAAUUGUAUAGUGGAGUGGAGUUGCGCUCCCUUAUAGGCUUUUUGGAGUGGUUAGCCUCCAUUUAAGGGUUGGUGUGUUUUUUGUCUCUUUUUGGUUGUGAGACCUUUGCCGCUUUGUAUACUCCCUGUAUGUUAUGUGACUUUUUUGCCUUGUGUUAUUAUAUUCCGUGUUUACUUAUCAAAAAAAAAAAAAAAAAAAAAAAAAUUAAGCAAUCCACUGAGGUAUGCCAAACCACCCUCCCAACACACACAAAGGAAAAAAACAAAAAAAAAAACAAAAAGAAAAAAAGAGAAAAAUGUCAUCUACUGAGGCAUGGUUGCUUAGUGGGAGCCUUGUAAAAUACGUUGAUUGAUAGAGGUUUUUAAUGGUCUAAAACAGUUACAAAGAUCUUGGGUUGAUUAGUUCUAAGAGGUGGUAGUUAAGUAUGACUGCAAAGAACUUGUUUUGGUCAUUCUUCAUUUUUGCAAGGUUAAUCAAACAACACUGUUAUUUUGGCUGUUUAUGGAUGCAGUUGUCACAGGAAAUGAUGUGAAGGGUAUGAUGUGCUUAAAAGUCAUUUAAGUGAGCAUUUUCAAAUGAAAGAUUUUUUUGAUAGGUGCUUUUUCAUAUGAAAGAUUUGAGUUAGUUGAUAUCUUUUCUAGGCACAAAAGUUGCUAGGACAGGGGAAAGGUCUCACAAUGGAAAUAUAUCACUAAUCUUGUUGGAAAAUCUGCCAGCUUUUGUGACCAAUUUAUGAAGAUUCUUCCUGCUCAUAUGAGUUGUAACAAUUUUAUAGUUGUGUAUAAAAUUUCCUAGGAUUCUUUCCUUUCCUAGCAUUCUUCACUUAUUUAUCUUUGAUAGCAUGUUUGAAAGCAGAAUUAUGGGCAUUACUUUCUAGGCUA